GUAAUCAAUAAUUUCUAUAAAACUUUACUUGAAACUGCAGCGCCCCAAAAAGUAACUAUAAAAAUUGAGGCUUUUCAAAGGAAAAGUGCUCAACAUAAGCCAACAACUUAAAUUAAUAGAACCAAUGCAUAGAGAAGAAGUAUAUCAUGCCCUACAAGGAAUUGGCCACUUGAAAGCACUUGAAGCGGAUGGGUUCAAUGCUUUUUUCUUUAAGAAAUCUCAGAAAAUAGUAGGAGGCGAGAUCAUAAAGGUUGUAUUGUAUUUUUUUUUACACUGGCACCUUAUAGGACUAUUAAUUGCACUUUAGUUACACUAAUACCAGAGGUGAGGAACCUCUUAGAAGUGAAGGACUUUAGGCCAAUAUCCUAUUGUUGUAUACUCCAUAAGUUGAUCCCAAAAAUUUUGACCAACUGGCUACAACAUGUUAUGGCUGUCCUCAUUGAUAGUAGCCAGUCAGAUAUGUGAUAAUAUUAUCUUAAAUCGUGAGUUUGUGAAGGGGUGCGAGAGAAAGGGCAUCUCCCUGAGGUUUAUGUUAAAGGUAGAUAUGCAAAAGGUAUAUAAUUAUUUAGAAAGGAGAUUCAUUGUUAACAAAUAUGAACAUUCCUCACAAAUUCACUCAUUGGAUUAUGGUAUUGCCUUAAAACAAUUUCUUUCUCUAUAUGUAUAAAUGGCUAUCCCGAUGCUCCUUUUCAUGCCAAGCAAGGACUCAGGCAAGGAGAUCAUGUAUAUCUUUUUCUCUUGAUGUUGGUAAUGGAGUAUUUCUCCAGGCAGUUGAAGAAACUAGGGAUACAGACAAGCUUUUUCCAUCACCUAAGAUGUGUCAAACUACAGCUGAUCCAAUUGGGAUUUGCAGACUACCUUUUAUUAUUUUGUAGAGAAGACGAGGGCUCAGUCCAAUCGCCAUUUGAAUGUUUUUUCAAGAAUUCUGGAAGGUGUUAGGAUUGAUUAUAAACAAGCAUAAAAUCUCGGUACAAUUUGUUGGGGUUCCCCUUCAUGUGCAAGGCAGAAUCAUCAAC
rnacentral:lncRNA from 1 species